GUUAAUAGAAAAGAGGCAGGGAAUACCUGUAAAUAGGGAGGUAUAGGAGGGAAUAACAAGCACUUAGUUUUUCUAUCUUACAAGUGUCAGGAUUACCUAUACUUCCUACAUCUCUAUUUAUCAUUGCAUCUAAUCAUAGCUUGUUAUUGCCUCCUAUACCUCCCUAUUUACAGGUAUUCUCUGCCUCUUUUCUAUUAACU